rnacentral:rRNA from 1 species
AUAAGUAAAAGAAAGGGCAGACGGUGGAUGCCUUGGCUCUUGGAGGCGAAGAAGGACGUGAUAAGCUGCGAUAAGCUCGGGCGAGGUGCAAAUAACCGCAUGAACCUGAGAUUUCCGAAUGGGGCAACCCGGUAGAGAAACCUCUACCAUACCCUUAUAGGGUAGGCUAACGUGGGGAACUGAAACAUCUAAGUACCCAUAGGAAAAGAAAAUAAUAAUGAUUCCCGAAGUAGUGGCGAGCGAACCGGGAAUAGCCCAAACCAUGUUUGUUUAGGCAAAUAUGGGGUUGUAGGACUGCGCUGUAGCAAGACUUUAUGAAAGUAGAACUGUCUGGAAAGUCAGGCCGUAGAGAGUGAAAGCCUCGUAUACGACUUUAUAAAUAAGCUUAGCAGUAUCCUGAGUAGGGCGGGACACGUGAAAUCCUGUCUGAAUCUGCGGGGCCCAUCCCGUAAGGCUAAAUACUCCCAAGAGACCGAUAGCGAACCAGUACCGUGAGGGAAAGGUGAAAAGAACCUCGAACAGAGGAGUGAAAUAGACCCUGAACCCGUCUGCCUACAAGCGGUCGGAGCACCUAUAUGGUGUGACGGCGUGCCUUUUGCAUAAUGAACCUACGAGUUACUUUUGUUGGCAAGGUUAAGUGAUUCAGUCACGGAGCCGAAGCGAAAGCGAGUCUGAAUAGGGCGCCAUAGUCAGCAGGAGUAGACGCGAAACCAAGUGAUCUACCCAUGUGCAGGUUGAAGGUUAGGUAACACUAACUGGAGGACCGAACCCGUAAACGUUGAAAAGUUUUGGGAUGACGUGUGGGUAGGGGUGAAAGGCUAAUCAAACUUGGAGAUAGCUCGUACUCCCCGAAAUGCAUUUAGGUGCAGCCUCUGUUAAGUUUUGUGUCAGGUAGAGCGACUGAUUGGAUGCGAGGGCUUCGCCGCCUAUCAAGUCCAGACAAACUCCGAAUGGGCACAAAAUUAUUGCAGGGAGUGAGGGCAUGGGUGCUAAGGUCCAUGUCCGAGAGGAGAAGAAUCCGGACCAUCGUCUAAGGUCCCGAAAUCUAUGCUAAGUUGCAUUAACGAAGUCUGGUUACAUAGACAGCUAGGAUGUUGGCUUGGAAGCAGCCAUUCAUUUAAAGAGUGCGUAACAGCUCACUAGUCGAGUGACCGGGCGUGGAUAAUACUCGGGCAUAAGCAUAGUACCGAAGACAUGGAUUCAUAAUUAAAUUUAUGAGUGGUAGGGGAGCAUUCUUGUCGGCGUAGAAGGUAGAUGGUGAUGUCUGCUGGAGCGGCAAGAAAAGCAAAUGUAGGUAUAAGUAACGAUAAUGCGGGCGAGAAACCCGCACGCCGAAAGACCAAGGUUUCCUGAUCAACGUUAAUCGGAUCAGGGUAAGUCGGGCCCUAAGGUUAAGCCGAACGGCGAUACCGAUGGACGAACCGGUUAAUAUUCCGGUACUACUAUAUAGAGAGAAGUGGGGACGGAGAAGUGACACUACCGCCAGCUGACGGAAUAGCUGGUUAAAGGGUGUAGACGUUGAUCGUGGCAGGCAAAUCCACCGCGAGAGUCGAACCUGAUAGUACCUAGAGUGCAUGCACGACGGGAUAGUGUAGGUAAGCAGGCUCCCAAGAAAAUCCGCUAUCGUUAAUUUAUAUAGUAUCCGUACUGUAAACCGACACAGGUGGUUGAGUAGAAUAUACUAAGGCGCUCGAGUGAUUCAUGGUUAAGGAAUUAGGCAAAAUGGUCCUGUAACUUCGGGAUAAAGGACGCUCUCCUUACGGAGAGCCGCAGAGAAUAGGAGAAGGCGACUGUUUAUCAAAAACACAUGGCUGUGCAAAAUUAUCAAGAUGACGUAUACAGCCUGACACCUGCCCGGUGCUGGAAGGUUAAGAGGAGAAGUCAUACAUUAAGUAGAAGCUUUGAAUUGAAGCCCCAGUAAACGGCGGCCGUAACUAUAACGGUCCUAAGGUAGCGAAAUUCCUUGUCGGGUAAGUUCCGACCUGCACGAAUGGUGUAACGAUCUUCUCACUGUCUCAACCAUGAGCUCGGUGAAAUUGUAGUAUCGGUGAAGAUGCCGAUUACCCGCAACGGGACGAAAAGACCCCGUGAACCUUUACUAUAGCUUUACAUUGGACUUGGGCAAUUGAUGUGUAGGAUAGGCCGGAGGCUAUGAAGUCGGGACGCUAGUUUCGGUGGAGCCGUCGUUGAAAUACGGCCCUUUAAUUGUUUGAGUCCUAACUCCUGGAUAGGAGGACACUGUAUGGUGGGUAGUUUGACUGGGGUGGUCGCCUCCAAAAGAGUAACGGAGGCUUCUAAAGGUGCGCUCAGGCCGAUUGGUAACCGGUCGUAGAGUGUAAUGGUAUAAGCGCGCUUGACUGAGAGACCUACAAGUCGAUCAGGUAGGAAACUAGAGCAUAGUGAUCCGGUGGUUUCAGUAUGGAAUGGCCAUCGCUCAAAGGAUAAAAGGUACUCCGGGGAUAACAGGCUGAUCAUUCCCAAGAGCUCAUAUCGACGGAAUGGUUUGGCACCUCGAUGUCGGCUCGUCACAUCCUGGGGCUGGAGAAGGUCCCAAGGGUUGGGCUGUUCGCCCAUUAAAGUGGCACGCGAGCUGGGUUCAGAACGUCGUGAGACAGUUCGGUCUCUAUCUGUUGUGGGCGUAGGAGAUUUGAGGGGCUCUGACACUAGUACGAGAGGACCGUGUUGGACAGACCUCUGGUGAACCGGUUGUCGCGCCAGCGGCAUGGCCGGGUAGCUAAGUUUGGAUCGGAUAACUGCUGAAAGCAUCUAAGUAGGAAGCCGGCCUCAAGAUUAGAUCUCCCUAUAGGGUGGUUGUAGACUACGACCUUGAUAGGCUGUAGGUGUAAAGGCGGUGACGUCAUAGCCAAGCAGUACUAAUUACCCGAACGAUACUUAUUG